CGCAUCUGUGCAUGCAGCAUAUCAAUAAGCGGAGGAAAAGAAACUAACAAGGAUUCCCCUAGUAACGGCGAGUGAAGCGGGAAGAGCUCAAAUUUGAAAUCUUAAAGGGUUUCCCUUUACGAAUUGAUAGUUUAAAGAAGUGUUUUCUGUUGAGGUUUUGGUAAAAGUUCUUUGGAAUAGGACAUCAUAGAGGGUGAGAAUCCCGUAUUUGACCUUUACUUUCAACUUUGUGAUACACUUUCAAAGAGUCGGAUUGUUUGGGAAUGCAGUCCAAAUGGGUGGUAAAUUUCAUCUAAAGCUAAAUAUUGGCGAGAGACCGAUAGCGAACAAGUACCGUGAGGGAAAGAUGAAAAGAACUUUGAAAAGAGAGUUAAACAGUACGUGAAAUUGUCAAAAGGGAAGCGUUUGACACCAGUGUUGUUUUUCUGAAAAUCAAUUAAAGAACUGUUUAUGCUAAGUUGUUUAGACUUUAUCAGCUAUCUGUUUAGUUUUGAGCUUUUCUUUAAUGCACUUUUCAGUUAACAAGUCAACAUCAAUUUCUUUUGCUGUAAAAAAGCUUGAGGAAGGUGGCUUGAGAUUCGUCUUAAGUGUUUAUAGCCUCUUGCCUAUGCAGUCGGAGAGAUUGAGGUCUGCAGCGUAGAUCCUUCGGGGCUAAAUGCAUUUGUGCUAAGUUAUAACAUUUUAUAGACAACUUGUUGACUAUGACUUGUCUUGUAGCUUACUCGCUUAUGUUAUUUUACCUACGCUUAGGAUGUUGACAGCAGUAUAGACUGU
rnacentral:rRNA from 1 species